rnacentral:rRNA from 1 species
GACCAAAGGGGGCGAGCGUAAGCAGCUCUCACCGAAGGAGGAGCCUGCGUCCGAUUAGCUAGUUGGUGGGGUAAUGGCCUACCAAGGCGACGAUCGGUAGCCGGCCUGAGAGGGCGAUCGGCCACACUGGAACUGAGACACGGUCCAGACUCCCACGGGAGGCAGCAGUGGGGAAUAUUGCGCAAUGGGCGAAAGCCUGACGCAGCGACGCCGCGUGGGUGAUGAAGGCCUUCGGGUCGUAAAGCCCUGUCUGGUGGAACGAAAUGCCUGGCGGCCAAUACCCGCUGGGUUUGACGGUACCACCGAAGGAAGCCCCGGCUAGCUACGUGCCAGCAGCCGCGGUAAGACGUAGGGGGCGAGCGUUGUUCGGAUUUACUGGGCGUAAAGCGCGCGUAGGCGGCCAGAUAAGUCGGGUGUGAAAGCCCUCGGCUCAACCGAGGUUCCGCAUCCGAUACUGCUUGGCUGGAGUCUAGGAGAGGAGAGCGGAAUUCCCAGUGUAGCGGUGAAAUGCGUAGAUAUUGGGAGGAACACCCGUGGCGAAGGCGGCUCUCUGGACUAGUACUGACGCUGAGGCGCGAAAGCUAGGGGAGCGAACGGGAUUAGAUACCCCGGUAGUCCUAGCCGUAAACGAUGGGCACUAGGUGUGGGAGGUAUUGACCCCUUCCGCGCCGAAGCUAACGCAUUAAGUGCCCCGCCUGGGGAGUACGGCCGCAAGGCUAAAACUCAAAGGAAUUGACGGGGGCCCGCACAAGCGGUGGAGCAUGUGGUUCAAUUCGACGCAACGCGAAGAACCUUACCAGGGCUUGACAUCCCACGAACCUGCCUGAAAGGGCGGGGUGCCCGCAAGGGAGCGCGGAGA